rnacentral:lncRNA from 1 species
AGAAGUGGGCCUGUUGGAUGCCACUACCAGAAGAAGGAUAUAACAUUGCAACGUCCCUUCCAGACAAAGAAAAGAGCCUGUGUGAAGACAGCAUUGUUGGAAAACAACAAACGUUUGUGUUUUUUUUUUAUUUGUUUGUUUUGUGUGGACAUCUUUUUUUAUUUUUAAAAAACUUUAAUUUUAAGUUUGGGGUCUAAUGCAAGUUUGCUGCCUAGAUAAACUUGUGUUACGGGGGUUUGUUGUACAGAUUAUUUCAUCACCCAGGUAUUAAGCCUAGUACACAUUAGUUAUUUUUUCCUGAUCCUCUCCCUCCUCCCAUCCUCCACCUUCCAAACGGCCGCAGUGUGUCUGUGUCUUGUUCCCUACCAUGUGUCCAUGUGUUCUUAUCAUUCAGCUCCCACUUAUAAGUGAGAACAUGUUGGUAUUUGGUUUUCUGUUUCUUUGUUAGUUUGCUAGGGAUAAUGGCCUCCAGCUCCAUCCAUGACCCUGCAAAGGACAUGAUCUCAUUCCUUUUUAUGGCUGCAUAGUAUUCUGUGGUGUAUACGAACCACAUUUUAUUUAUCCAGUCUGUUAUUGAUGGGAAUUGAGGUUGAUUCCAUGUCUUUGUUAUUGUGAAUAGUAGUGCUGCAAUGAACAUACACGGGCAUGUAUCUUUAUAAUAUAAUAAUUUAUAUUCCUCUGGGUAUAUACCCAGUAAUGGGAUUGCUGGGUCGAAUGGUAUUCCUGUGUUUAGGUCUUUGAGGAAUUGCCACACUGUCUUCCACAAUGGAUGAACUAAUUUACACUCCCACCGACAGUGUAUAAGCAUUCUUUUUUUUUCUCCACCAUCUCACCAGCAUCUGUUAUUUUUUGACUUUUUAAUAAUAGUCAUUCUGGCUGGUGUGAAAUGGUAUCUCAUUGUUGUUUUGAUUUGCAUUUCUUUAAAGAUCAGUGAUGCUGAGCUUUUUUCAUAUGAUUACAACAAAUGUUUUGAUACCUCUUUUUGAACCAAAGUUCCAGGGAGGGCCAGAGUAAGGAGAGUGUUAUUGCAGAACGAGAUAUAUUGGAAACAAUGGUUCUGAUCCCAUUCCCUCUUUGAAACCCUGAGAGACAACUGCUAAUGCUAUUGGCUCCAGUGUUCAGGGGAGUGAUAGCAUAAAAAGGGAGUAGAGAGGUGGCCACACGUGCUAGCUCUGUUGAGCUGCACUUAUCUCCAGUGGGAUAUCAAGGGACCCAGCAGUUCCUAAAAGCCUUUUCUGGUGGCAGAAAGGAGAGUAGCUAAGAAUUCUCUGGGGGUAGAAUUGCCAGGGACAGGGAAAGACAGGAGUCCUGGCACACCUGCACACUGAAUUGGGACCCAGUGGGCAAGGCAAGUCUUGAUCGAGCCAAAUAAAUAGAUCAUCAUUGUGUCAGCUGCUGGCUUGAGCAGUGGGCAGCAUAGAAUGACCACUCCCAACCAGGUACAACCCUGUCACUUGGACCUUCACAGAACCCAGGCCAGGGCAGAACCAGACCAGCCAGCCACUCUGCAGUAGAGAUCAGUGAAUACCAGAGUUGGCACCUGGAGUUGUAUCCCUUUUCCCUGCUACCGUUAAGUCAUCCUAGUAAUCCUCCUUGCAGAAGAGAAGUAGGGUGGAAGAUUUGACGAGGUGAAUGUGUACAUGAAAUACGCUGUGUUACCCCAAGGAUACUCUUAACUGGAAGGAAUUGAGAGCUCUUAAACGGCAGAGUUCAGGGUUUUGUUGUUUGUGUUGUUUCUUUUUUCUACUCUUGGUGGGUUGGGUGGGAAUUCUUAGGGAGAAGAUGUCAUCAGUUAGAAAUAAGAACUAAUUUUUCUCAGUACAUUGACUAGGGGGCCAGAAUACUUAUUUGCAACUCUAGUACCUAUCAAGUACCUCAUUUAAAUUUUUACCAAAAAAAUUUUUACCUGGGUGUCUAACAAAUGAGGACACUGAAAUUUAGUGAGAGUAAGUGAUUUUUCCUAUGGCCCUUCACUGAACCAGGUGGUGAAACCUAUAUCCAAAUAAAACUUGGAAUUUGGAGUCUUAAGCCCUAUAGUAUUAAUAUUUUGUUAACUGUUAGAUGAAGCAUUGCAACAGUAGGAAAUCCCUUUCUUAAGUUUUGGGGUGCUUUCAGGGUUAGCAUGGUAGGAGCAGAGAACCCAGAAAUGGUCUGUUCAGCUUAGAGUGAAUGUUCUGAGCUUGAGAUCCAUUGCUGAUGCGGCACUGCACUGUGGGGUUAUGAAUUGCUUCUGGCUUGGCAUCAAAGCGGAAAUGCGUGGGAAUGCACACUGGGUUGGCUGGGCUCCUGCCCUGGGUGAAUGUGGUGCAGAUGGUCCUACUGAGGAUGAAAAGCCCGGUGGAGAGAUGUUCAAUAGGUUAAUUGUGCACGUUCUUGGAUGAGUCAGCCUGUAAUUGCUGAUACCAAUAUGUUCGGCGUUGCUGCCUCAGGGGCUUGGUGUGUGAGUCAGAUGAUGGAAAUGAGGAUAAAGUUGGCCUUGUUUCCUGAAAUCUUAGAAACCGAAUAAUAAGUUUUUGAACUUGGUAUGUGAUCAAAAUCACUUUGGGAGAAAGAUGAAAAGACAGAAUGAAAAACUUGUUGUAAUCAAUGCAUUCCUAGACUGCGAACUCUUUCAAUGUUGACUGCAGCUCUGCCAUCUACAUAACCUGAGGAAAGGAAGAGGACUAUGCGCAGACUGACAAGAGCAGUCCCAUUUGUAUUAAUACAAGGAAUGGUCAGUCCUCAUCUGGAAUGACUUAGGACUGAUAGAUGUGCAUUUACACCACUACAUUGAUUGGAGGAAAGAAAGGACAUUGAUUGGAAGGACCCACUGGCAUUGCGGAGGAAUGGCCUUACAAAAUGAGAUGGUCAUGACCAUCCCUGGAGAAUCUGACAUAUGGAGUGAAGACUGUAGAGAGGAUGUGCUGACUGCUCUAAGUGUCAUCAAUGAGGGUACACAGAAUAAAAGAAUGUCUGCCACUAGCACUACCCCUUGGGUGCUAUAGACCAAAGGUGGCAUCAUGACUAGAAUCCAAAUGGCAAGAGCCAAUUAAUAUGCCCACACACAGAACUUAAAACCAAGGGUUGGCAAUAGACCAUGCACAGUUCAGAGCCCUUAACUUGUACUCUGUUGGAGGUCAGUGAGAGUUGCCCUGAGACACCAUGAGACUGGUGACCCAGUAUCAUGGGAUCCCAUGAAAUAAAUACUGCUCAGGUCAGCAAAAGCAAUCUCCAUGCCAGGCCAUACUUCUGGAAAUGGAGGCCCAGAUGACCUCAUAGGUGAAACUCCUAGAGCUCUGCAUUGUAUCUGGUCAACCCCAUAUGCAUGGUAGAGGGCUUGAGAGCUCUCUUACGGGGACAAAUGGAGCUUCUGGGUUAUAUGGAUCCUGGUCUAGAUUUGGGGUCCCCUGCCUGGAUAGCACUGCCAGCCCUGGCCAGUUGUAGGUACUGGAAGGGUACAUAAAAAUUUUUAAGGAACCCUUUUCCUUCCUACCCUCCACAAGGCAGUACCCAAGGCAGGGGCUUUACCUGCUUGCAUCUAAUGGUGGUACUACUUAUUAUCAUUCUUGUUUUACAGAUGAGCAAACUGAGAUAGGAAGAAAUUAAGUAAUUUUUCCAAAGUUAAACUACUAGUAAGUAGCAAGAUAUACAAUCAUAGAAUCUAGUUCCUGUACUCAUAACCAAUAUACUACAUGGUCUCUGAAGUACUGUAGUAUAUAUGAAAGAACUUUUUGAGAAUGAAAAAUGUUAUUUCUCAAAUUUCAUAAAAUACAGAAGUGCUUCAAAAAAUGCAUUCUAGUUAUAAACGUAAAGAGCUGUGAAGGCCAAUUAUUACAUAUAAAAAUACCAUGAACCCCCACCAGUCAUUUAACCAAUUAAAAAUAAACACUGCAGGAAAUAUAUGGGGAGAAAGAUGUAGUAGGAAGAGAGUUCUGGCAGCAAAAACCAUGAGCUUUCAUGCAAGGCAGGAUACUCUGCUUUACUUAUGGCUGAGACCUUGAUCAAGAAGACUUAGAAUAAGACUGAAGACUGUGAUUUACAUGGUCAGAAAAGAGCUACAGAGCAGCUGGAUAUUGAUAUCAUUCUUCUUGCUUAAUGAGGGAGACGAAGAAUAAGUUAGAGGUUUUUAGAAACACAUCACAAAGGAAACUUCCAUGGUAGAAUCUGGCCUGAACUCAGCAACAGACCGACUGUGUCAAUUGAUCUAGAGGCAGUUUCAUGAAGUGUCAGAGUAGCAGCAACAAUUUGCUCCUAACAUUAGAGACCUCAUUCGUAUGCUUAAAAGAGCUACUGAUGAAGAAGUUGUGAUUCCGAUAGUGAUGGAGAAACUAAAUCUCACAUAAAUAAAAAUUAUAAGCCUUUGAAAAAAAUAUUUAAAAACUUUUUGAAGGCACUAAAAACAUAAAUGAAGUUAAAGGGAAUAUGAGCAGUAAAAGGAAGGAAAUGCAUAGAAUAAGUUCUACAUUUAUAACACUUUUCCAUAAAGGCUCUUUCCAGUCUACAUAAUGGGGAUGGCUAAAAUUUAUAUACAAAUCUACAGUCUUAUUGGCUUGAGGUAUCAGAGAACGCAAUUUGGGCUGUCAGAAAGGGUGAAAUUGAGAAAGAAGUCCUGAAAAGGGAGAAACAAAGGGAAAAAUCACAAAUUUGCACAUAAACUUUUCUCAAAUAUCUGUCUGCUACAAAAGCUACAUGUGUGCAAAGAAGACGACAAGGAGCACAGCAAAAAAGCACUGAUUGGAUGACUUCAAAAGCUAAGCAGACAUUUUAGCUAGUGUCCACCACAAGGAUUAUGGAGUUUGGAGUUUGAAUGCUGACAAGGUAGAAGGCCUUAAGUGUAAAGAUUAUGGUUCUAGGAUUGGGAUUAAGGGGAACAUUAAAAUAGAUCCUGACAUAGUUUGGAUCUGUGUCCAUGUUGAAUUGUAAUCCCCAGUGUUGCAGGUGGGGCCUGGUGGGAGGUGAUUGGAUUAUGGGGGUGGAUUUCUCUGUUGGUGCUGUUCUUGUGAUAGUGAGUGAGUGAGCUACCAUAGUAGCUUCAUUGCUUAUUGUGUUUUAUCCUGAUUCUCACAUCUGACUCUAGCCCUCUCAUGUUUUCACAGAACGUGCAACAUGGCACCUCCUAUUGCCAUGAAAGUAAGAGCAUGUCAGUUUAAAAUAAUCAUUUUAUCCCCAGAGUGAGCAUAGUGCCUGGCUUCUAAUAGUUAUUCAAUAAAUUAUCUCAAAACAAUUAAAUGAAUGAGUGUUUUGCCCUAGAUGUGUCUAAUCACUGCUCCCAUACAUUCUAUUCUAUGUCUAUUGCCUAGCCUACAUUCCCUCUACUUCUUUACACCUUAUUCAUCCUUUAUAGCCAGACUCAAGUGUUAACCCCUCUGUGAGUUUUUCCCAGAUGAUAAUUCUGGUCUCUCCCUUCUCUGAACAUAUAUUUAACUUUCAGUGAGAUCAUUACUCAUUACAGAGGUAGGAGGCAGGGCUGGACUCUGGAGGCGGGGCUUGGGCACUGGACCAGAUUAAAGACUAACUGAAACAGGGAAGAGGCAAAAGUGCCUCUUCAUAAGACACACCCACCAAUGCCAUGUCAGUUUGCUGUUGCCAUGGCAAAACCCAAAAUUUAUUGCUCCUUUAUCAUGGUAAUGGCCUGAUGAUCUGAAAGUUACCACCCUUUUUCUAGAAAUAUCUAGAAAUAUCUGCAUAAUCUGCUCCUUAAUUUGCAUGUAAUUAAAAGUGGGUAUAAAUAUGACAGCAGAACUGCCUCUGAGCUGCUAUUCUGGGCACACUGCCUAUGGAGUAUCCCUGUUCCACAAGGUUCAGUACCUCUGCUGCUGCUGUACAUGGCUGCUUCAAUAAAAGUUGCUGUUUAACACCAUGAGUUCACCCUUGCAUUCUUUUUUGGGUGAAGCCAAGAACCCUCCUGGGAUAGGCCAGCCUCAAUUUUGGGGUUUGCCUACCCUGCAUCAUCUAGCAACCACAAAGGGAUGAAGACAGCAAGUGGAGG